UUUAUUGGAGAGUUUGAUCCUGGCUCAGGAUGAACGCUGGCGGCGUGCCUAAUACAUGCAAGUCGAGCGAAUGGAUUAAGAGCUUGCUCUUAUGAAGUUAGCGGCGGACGGGUGAGUAACACGUGGGUAACCUGCCUAUGAGACUGGGAUAACUCCGGGAAACCGGGGCUAAUACCGGAUAACAUUUUGAACCGCAUGGUUCGAAAUUGAAAGGCGGCUUCGGCUGUCA
rnacentral:rRNA from 1 species